CUCUGGGGAAACUUCGGAUUUAAUCCCGGCUUCGGCCCUUCGGGGAGAAAGGGGGCAACUUGUUGCCUUCCGCUUUUAAGUAGGCCCUAAGUCGGAUUAGCUUAAAUGGUGGGGUAAAGGCCUUCCCAUGGGGACGGAUCUGUAGGUGGUUUUGGAGGGAUGUUCAGCCACACCGGGAAUUGGACACGGGCCCGGAUUCCUACGGGAGGCAGCAGUGGGGAAUAUUGGCCAAUGGGGGAAACCCUGAUCCAGCCAUGCCGCGUGGUGGAAGAAGGCCUUUUUGGUUGUAAAGCACUUUAAGCAGUGAAGAAGACUCUUCGGUUAAUACCCGGAGACGAUGACAUUAGCUGCAGAAUAAGCACCGGCUAACUCUGUGCCAGCAGCCGCGGUAAUACAGAGGGUGCAAGCGUUAAUCGGAAUUACUGGGCGUAAAGCGAGCGUAGGUGGCUUGAUAAGUCAGAUGUGAAAUCCCCGGGCUUAACCUGGGAACUGCAUCUGAUACUGUCAGGCUAGAGUAGGUGAGAGGAAGGUAGAAUUCCAGGUGUAGCGGUGAAAUGCGUAGAGAUCUGGAGGAAUACCGAUGGCGAAGGCAGCCUUCUGGCAUCAUACUGACACUGAGGCUCGAAAGCGUGGGUAGCAAACAGGAUUAGAUACCCUGGUAGUCCACGCCGUAAACGAUGUCUACUAGUCGUUGGGUCCCUUGAGGACUUAGUGACGCAGCUAACGCAAUAAGUAGACCGCCUGGGGAGUACGGCCGCAAGGUUAAAACUCAAAUGAAUUGACGGGGGCCCGCACAAGCGGUGGAGCAUGUGGUUUAAUUCGAUGCAACGCGAAGAACCUUACCUGGUCUUGACAUAUCUAGAAUCCUGCAGAGAUGCGGGAGUGCCUUCGGGAAUUAGAAUACAGGUGCUGCAUGGCUGUCGUCAGCUCGUGUCGUGAGAUGUUGGGUUAAGUCCCGCAACGAGCGCAACCCUUGUCCUUAGUUACCAGCGGGUUAAGCCGGGAACUCUAAGGAUACUGCCAGUGACAAACUGGAGGAAGGCGGGGACGACGUCAAGUCAUCAUGGCCCUUACGACCAGGGCUACACACGUGCUACAAUGGUAGGUACAGAGGGCAGCUACACAGCGAUGUGAUGCGAAUCUCAAAAAGCCUAUCGUAGUCCAGAUUGGAGUCUGCAACUCGACUCCAUGAAGUAGGAAUCGCUAGUAAUCGCGAUCAGAAUGCCG
rnacentral:rRNA from 1 species